CCCGCCGGGGCAGUGGGGCCAGUCAGAUUCGGUGUUGCACUGAGGCCCGUGGAAGUACCUCCAGUGGAUGUGUUGACGCAGAAAUACUUAAGGCCUAACUCAGAGCCAGGGAACAAGUUACUACACACCGCCUGCCGACCCGAUCACCAGCCAACCUUGCCACCCUGCCAAACCCCUGCACAGCCUACCCUGCCUGUCCCGUCUGUUUUGUCACUGCCAUUCCACUCUGCAAUAACCCAGGCAUUAAACCCUUUCUGGACCAUA